rnacentral:rRNA from 1 species
CAAGAAACUAAAAAGGAUUCUAUCAGUAAUGGCGAGUGAAUGGAGACGAGCUCACUUUGGAAAUCAGGGCCUCUUUGGCCUUGAAUUGUAGCCUCGAGGUGUGCUGCCAGUGGAGGCGCAGAUGUUGGCCUCUUGGAAGAGAGCAUCAGUGAGGGUGAGAGUCCCGUCUGUCUUUCGCAGCCCUCCGCGCACGGUGCCCUUCCUGCGAGUCAUGCUCCUUGGAAUUGGAGUGUAAAAAAGGUGGUAAAUUUCAUCUCAAGCUAAAUAUCCGAUCGAGACCGAUAGAAAACAAGUACCAUGAGGGAAAGAUGAAAAGGACUUUGAAAAGAGAGUUAGAAGUGCCUGAAAUUGCUGAAAAUGAAGAGAAUGGAACUAGCACAGCUUUGCGAGAUUGUCACGUGGUAAAGUUCACCAGAGACAUGUGUUGCUUCUUGCCUCGCGCGUCCACUCCAGCUUGUGGCCGAGGAAACCGCGCGGGAUAUGGUGCUCAGCCUGCGGGCGGGCAAAUGUCCUCUGCAGAACUCGCUCAUGAACUGCAGGCUCUGCUUGUCCAGUUGCAGCGUCCUGGCUUCUCUGAAGCUGGAUGUUCUUCCUGGCAUUGGGACGAUGAACUGGUUCCUUUCAACCCGUCUUGAAACACGGACCAAGGAGUUUAACGUAUGUGCGAGUCCACGAGGGGUGAACGCUUGUUGGCAGAGUGAAAGCAACUGCUGGGAUGUUCGCGUCAGCAGCCAACCUAUUGAUUGAGACAGGCUUGAGAUCGAGCACAUCUGUUAGGACCCGAAAGAUGGUGAACUAUGCCUGAGAAGGGCAAAGUCAGGGGAAACUCUGAUGGAGGCUUGUAACGAUACUGACGUGCAAAUCGUUCGUCGCACUUGGGUAUAGGGGCGAAAGACUAAUCGAACCAUCUA